GACAAGAGUAGAGGCACAUCCUGACAGACACUUGUCCUGGUGUGCUGGAGUUCUUGGAGAGGAGCUACUGGUCUUGAUUCAUUGGUGGGGGAAGUCAGCACCCUUGUUAGUAUUCAGAUCAGAAACAUGC
ensembl:snoRNA